GGUAUAUGCUUGUCUCAAAGACUAAGCCAUGCAAGUCUAAGUAUAAGUUAUUCUGAAGACGAAACUGCGAAUGGCUCGGUAAAACAGCAAUAAUUUCUUCGGUGAUGAGUUUACUCACGGAUAACCGUAGUAAUUCUAGAGCUAAUACGUGCUGAAAUAAGAUGGGGUUCGCUCCAUCGUGCCGUUUAGAUAACAACACCAACAUUUGGUGAUUCAUAAUCGUCUUUCUGAUCGCUUGUGCGACGCACCGUUCAAAUUUCUGACCUAUCAACUUUCGAUGGUAAGGUAGUGUCUUACCAUGGUGGCAACGGGUAACGGACCGUGGGUGCGGGACUCCGGAGAGGGAGCCUGAGAAACGGCUACCACAUCCAAGGAAGGCAGCAGGCGCGCAACUUGCCCAAUCCAGACUCUGGGAGGCAGUGACAAGAAAUAUCAAUAGGGGAUCCUAUGGGUCUUCUAAUUGGAAUGAGAACAAGCUAAACAGCUUAUCGAGAAUCCAGCAGAGGGCAAGUCUGGUGCCAGCAGCCGCGGUAAUUCCAGCUCUGUAAGCGUAUACCAAAGUUGUUGCAGUUAAAACGCUCGUAGUCGGAACUUGGCCAUUCCGGAAGUGUGCACGUCGUGUGCGCGCUUUGCGGGGAUAGCUUUUGUGGUUUUGCGUAGGAUGAGGCACUUUUAUUAGUGAACGUCCUCACGCAUCCACUCUUUACUGUGAGAAAAUCAGAGUGCUCAAAGCAGCAUUUGCCGUGAAUGUAUUAGCAUGGAAUAAUAGAUAGGACUUGGUUCUAUUUUGUGGUUUGUUGGGACUGAGUAAUGAUUAAG
rnacentral:rRNA from 1 species